rnacentral:rRNA from 1 species
GAUGAACGCUGGCGGCGUGCCUAAUACAUGCAAGUCGAGCGAACAGAUAAGGAGCUUGCUCCUUUGACGUUAGCGGCGGACGGGUGAGUAACACGUGGGUAACCUACCUAUAAGACUGGAAUAACUCCGGGAAACCGGGGCUAAUGCCGGAUAACAUUUAGAACCGCAUGGUUCUAAAGUGAAAGAUGGUUUUGCGAUCACUUAUAGAUGGACCCGCGCCGUAUUAGCUAGUUGGUAAGGUAACGGCUUACCAAGGCAACGAUACGUAGCCGACCUGAGAGGGUGAUAGCCCGCACUGGAGCUGAGACCCGGUCCAGGCUCCUGCGGGAGGCACCAGUAGGCUAUCUUCCGCAGUGGGCGGAAACCUGGCGGAGCGGCGCCACGUGAGUGGUGACGGUCUUCGGAUCGUGAAGCUCUGUUAUGAGUGAAAAACAAAUGUGUAAGUAACUGUGCACGUCUUGACGGUACCUAAUCAGAAAGCCACGGCUAACUACGUG